rnacentral:rRNA from 1 species
AUUGAACGCUGGCGUCAGGCCUAACACAUGCAAGUCGAGCGGAGCGGCGGACGGGUGAGUAAUGCCUAGGCCUCUGCCUGGUAGUGGGGGAUAACGUCCGGCAACGGGCGCUAAUACCGCAUACUAUCAGAUGAGCCUCGGUCGGAUUAGCUAGUUGGGGGGGUAAAGGCCUACAAAGGCGAAGAUCCGUAACUUGUCUGAGAGGAUGAUCAGUAAAACUGGAACGGAGACACGGUCCAGACUCCUACGGGAGGCAGCAGUGGGGAAUAUUGGACAAUGGGCGAAAGCCUGAUCCAGCCAUGCCGCGUGUGUGAAGAAGGUCUUCGGAUUGUAAAGCACUUUAAGUUGGGAGGCGUUACCAACAGAAUAAGCACCGGCUAACUUCGUGCCAGCAGCCGCGGUAAUAC